UUGACCUCAAAUCAGGUAGGAU
rnacentral:rRNA from 1 species